UACGGAGGGGGCUAGCGUUGUUCGGAAUUACUGGGCGUAAAGGGUGCGUAGGCGGGUCUUUAAGUCAGGGGUGAAAUCCUGGAGCUCAACUCCAGAACUGCCUUUGAUACUGAGGAUCUUGAGUUCGGGAGGGGUGAGUGGAACUGCGAGUGUAGAGGUGAAAUUCGUAGAUAUUCGCAAGAACACCAGUGGCGAAGGCGGCUCACUGGCCCGAUACUGACGCUGAGGCACGAAAGCGUGGGGAGCAAACAGG
rnacentral:rRNA from 1 species